rnacentral:lncRNA from 1 species
CUAGAAAAUUCACACUUUUUAUUAUUGUUAUUACUCUAGGAAUUCUAGUCUUAUUUGGCAAACUAAAAGGUUUAUAUUAGUUUAUUAUCUUGGUUGGGAUGAUCAGAAAACUUAAACCUGAACCUGAACUCAGGUGAAGUUUUAGCCAAAAACAAAAGAAAAACUUUUUUGGUUUUUUUUAAAGGGCCACAGGUACAGCAUGUGGAAGUUCCCGGGCUAGGGGUCAAAUCGAAGCUUCAGCUCCUGGCCUACACCACAGCCACAGCAAAGCCAGAUUCGAGCCACAUCUGCUACCAACAACACAGCUCAUGGCAAUGCUGGAUCCUUAACCCACUGAGAGGGGCUAGGGGUCUAACCUGCAUCCUCAUGGAUAUUAGUUUCAUUUCUGCCGAGCCACGUUGGGAACGCCCAGAAAAACUGUUUGUUUUUUGGUUUUUUGGGGUUUUUUUUUGUCUUUUUAGGGCCGCACUUGCAGCAGAUGGAAGUUCCAGGUUAGGAGUUGAAUCAGAAGCUGCAGCUGCUGGCCUACACCACAGCCACAGCAACGCAGGAUCCAAGCCACAUCUGUGACCUACACCACAGUUCAUGGCAAUGCCAGAUCCUUAAUCCACUGAGUGAGGCCAGGGAUCAAACCUGCGUCCUAGUAAGAUUUGUUUCUGCUGAGCCACGAUGGGAACUCCCAGAAAAACUGUUUUAAUUUGCCUUCUAAAAGUUCCUAACACCUAUAUAAAAUUCUUAACACUUGAAAAAUUUGUAAAUUUAUGAUUAUUAUUUACCAUAAAUGAAUCUUCCUGAUUAUUUUCUUAAUGUUAGCAAAAUGCCUUCAAAAUUUACUGCUUCUACUACAGUUAGUGAAUGUUCAGUGUAGUUUAUAAAUGCUUAUUUAAAUGAAGAGAUAGGAAGAAAAGGAAGAGACCAAGUUCCUAGCUACAUUCCGUCAUAAACUAGUGGUAUGAUCUAGGGGCCAGUUCGUUUUUUCAUGCUUAAAAUGUCUUUUGUUCAGCAUUCAGAGAUAAAUCGUAAAGGUAAAAACUAGGUCUUAUAUACAAAGCACUGAAAAUAAUUUAAAGUGUUACAUGACUUUUAAAAUAGUUUUGUUAUCAGCAUCAUUUUAAAUGGAUGAAUAGCAUAAACUGAAGAUUUUUAGUUUAGGGAAGAUAAGGCAGAAGUGAUAAAGCAAAAGAGUCUUCUGUUAUUUGAGGUCUGCUCAUUUGAUCUGGAGGACAGACUUUAAAAACUGAUGGAAAUUACAGUCCAAUAGUUUUCAGUGUAACAUAAAAAACAACUGUCUACAACAGUGGAGCAGAUGGCCUUGUGAGAGAGUGAUCCAACCAUCCAUGAGGGCGUGCAUGCCAAGUUCCUAUACUGAUUGUCUGAGAUGCCUCUUGUGACAUUAGCUGCUAUAAUUUAUUAUGGGACCAAGAACUCUUUAAAAUCCGUUCCAAUUAUCAAAGCUUUUGUUUCUGUGUCCAUCCAAGAAAACUAAUCAAUGAAUUUUGUGGCAGUUAAUUCCAUUGCCUAUGUUUAUGACAUGAUAUAUCAGUUGGAAAAAUAUGUUCACUUAGGUGUGCUAUAAAGAUCAUAGUGUAUUCUCCAGAGAACAGUGAUAUUCCUAGGGAAAGGGAGGGCUGUAUGCUUAGUAGGGUUUCCUUAAGCCUCCCAAAACUGCCUUCACUAAGCUGUACUUCGCUUCUAUGCACUUGGCCAUAGACAAUCUUUUGAUGGUAGCAAUAGAAGUCCAAUUAAAGGUAGUAUAUACUGUAUUACAUUAUACUGUGUUCAUUUUUUAAUUUUUAUUUUUAUUGAAGUAUAGUUGAUUUACAGUGUUCUGUCAAUUUCUGCUGUACAGUAUAGUGACACACACACACACACAUUCUUUUUCUCAUACUACAUUUAGAAUGGAUAAGAAAUGAGACCCUACUGUACAUCCAGUAUCUUGGGAUAGAAUAUGAAUAUGCAGUGUCCUUUUCUCUGCUUGAGAAAUACACUUCAAAUUUAAAGUCAAGAAAAGGCUUUCCUUUUCUGAGGAACUAGAAUAUUUGCUUAUUC